rnacentral:rRNA from 1 species
GACGAACGCUGGCGGCGUGCUUAACACAUGCAAGUCGAACGGAAAGGCCCUGCUUUUGUGGGGUGCUCGAGUGGCGAACGGGUGAGUAACACGUGAGUAACCUGCCCUUGACUUUGGGAUAACUUCAGGAAACUGGGGCUAAUACCGGAUAGGAGCUCCUGCUGCAUGGUGGGGGUUGGAAAGUUUCGGCGGUUGGGGAUGGACUCGCGGCUUAUCAGCUUGUUGGUGGGGUAGUGGCUUACCAAGGCUUUGACGGGUAGCCGGCCUGAGAGGGUGACCGGCCACAUUGGGACUGCGGUACGGCCCAGACUCCUACGGGAGGCAGCAGUGGGGAAUAUUGCACAAUGGGCGGAAGCCUGAUGCAGCAACGCCGCGUGCGUGAUGACGGCCUUCGGGUUGUAAACCGCUUUCGCCUGUGACGAAGCGUGAGUGACGGUAAUGGGUAAAGAAGCACCGGCUAACUACGUG